rnacentral:ncRNA from 1 species
UAAUGUAGGUAAGGGAAGUCGGCAAAUUGGAUCCGUAACUUCGGAAUAAGGAUUGGCUCUGAGGAGCGGGGCGUGUCGGGCUUGGUCGGGAAGCGGGUUUGGCUGACGUGCCGGGCCUGGGCGAUCUGAAGGGGGAGGCGAAGACUUUCGCGCACCCCGGAUCCGAGCUCGGUCCCGUGCCUUGGCCUCCCGCGGAUCUUCCUUGCUGCGAGGCUUCCGUGGCGGCUCUGCCGUCGUGGACUGUUUCUUCGGCCGCCAUUCAACGCUCAGCUCAGAACUGGCACGGACUAGGGGAAUCCGACUGUCUAAUUAAAACAAAGCAUUGCGAUGGCCCCCAAGGGUGUUGACGCAAUGUGAUUUCUGCCCAGUGCUCUGAAUGUCAACGUGAAGAAAUUCAAAAAAGCGCGGGUAAACGGCGGGAGUAACUAUGACUCUCUUAAGGUAGCCAAAUGCCUCGUCAUCUAAUUAGUGACGCGCAUGAAUGGAUUAACGAGAUUCCCUCUGUCCCUAUCUACUC